rnacentral:rRNA from 1 species
UACACACCACCCGUCACACCAUGGGAGUUGGCUUUACCUGAAGGCGGUGCGCCAACCGCAAGGAGGCAGCCGACCACGGUAGGGUCAGCGACUGGGGUG